rnacentral:rRNA from 1 species
AUGCGUUGUUGGGUAGGGGAGCGUUCUGUAAGCCUGCGAAGGUGUGCUGUGAGGCAUGCUGGAGGUAUCAGAAGUGCGAAUGCUGACAUAAGUAACGAUAAAGCGGGUGAAAAGCCCGCUCGCCGGAAGACCAAGGGUUCCUGUCCAACGUUAAUCGGGGCAGGGUGAGUCGACCCCUAAGGCGAGGCCGAAAGGCGUAGUCGAUGGGAAACAGGUUAAUAUUCCUGUACUUGGUGUUACUGCGAAGGGGGGACGGAGAAGGCUAUGUUGGCCGGGCGACGGUUGUCCCGGUUUAAGCGUGUAGGCUGGUUUUCCAGGCAAAUCCGGAAAAUCAAGGCUGAGGCGUGAUGACGAGGCACUACGGUGCUGAAGCAACAAAUGCCCUGCUUCCAGGAAAAGCCUCUAAGCAUCAGGUAACAUCAAAUCGUACCCCAAACCGACACAGGUGGUCAGGUAGAGAAUACCAAGGCGCUUGAGAGAACUCGGGUGAAGGAACUAGGCAAAAUGGUGCCGUAACUUCGGGAGAAGGCACGCUGAUAUGUAGGUGAAGUCCCUCGCGGAUGGAGCUGAAAUCAGUCGAAGAUACCAGCUGGCUGCAACUGUUUAUUAAAAACACAGCACUGUGCAAACACGAAAGUGGACGUAUACGGUGUGACGCCUGCCCGGUGCCGGAAGGUUAAUUGAUGGGGU